rnacentral:rRNA from 1 species
GAUGAACGCUGACAGAAUGCUUAACACAUGCAAGUCAUUGGCGAAGCUGCGCUUGCGCAGUCUAGCCAAGGCGGACGGGUGAGUAACGCGUAAGGAACUUGCCCUGCAGACAGGGAUAACAGACGGAAACGACUGAUAACACCUGGUAUUGUCAGGCUGGCGCAUGCCGGCCUGAUGAAAGGAGACGCUGCAGGAGAGCCUUGCGUCCUAUUAGCUAGUUGGUGGGGUAACGGCCCACCAAGGCGAUGAUAGGUAGCCGGCCUGAGAGGGUGAACGGCCACAAGGGGACUGAGAUACGGCCCUUACUCCUACGGGAGGCAGCAGUGGGGAAUAUUGGACAAUGGGGGCAACCCUGAUCCAGCAAUUCUGUGUGCACGAAGAAGGUUUUCGGAUUGUAAAGUGCUUUCAGCAGGGAAGAAGAAAGUGGCGGUACCUGCAGAAGAAGCGACGGCUAAAUACGUG